UUCAACACCUUUGGAAUCUCAAGACACCCAAUCACAUCAGAUCUCAGAAGCUAAGUCGAGUUGGCCUUGUUGGUUCGUACCUGGAUGGAGAUAUCCAUGAAAUGCCAGAUGUUAUUGGCU
rnacentral:rRNA from 1 species